rnacentral:rRNA from 1 species
AACGAGCGCAACCCUCGACCUUAGUUGCCAGCAUUCAGUUGGGCACUCUAAGGUGACUGCCGGCUAAAAGUCGGAGGAAGGUGGGGAGUGACGUCAAAUCAUCAUGCCCCUUACUGACCUGGGCUACACACGUGCUACAAUGGGCGGUACAAAGGGUCGCGAACCCGCGAGGGGGAGCCAAUCCCAAAAAGCCGCUCUCAGUUCGGAUUGCAGGCUGCAACUCGCCUGCAUGAAGCCGGAAUCGCUAGUAAUCGCGGAUCAGCAUGCCGCGGUGAAUACGUUCCCGGGCCUU